GGUUGAUACUGCCUGGGGAAUCUUGGUGAUCUGUAAAACAAGUGAAUGACCAACGAAUGAAACUCCAAGGAACUUGGAGAUCCGACUUUUUGUUGCUGCAGUCAAACAAAAAACAGAGAAUGACCUUCUUUAAAGUGCCUGUUCAAAAUUUAAUAAAACGCUGAGGACAACUCUGCAGCCGCAUCUCGAUAAGACUAAGGAAAGUUCAGCUGAUGUUUUCAAAAACUAAUAUCUCUCAAGGGAGGCUCUACUCGCGAAAUUGACGGACCUACAGAAACAAAACCAGACGUUGGAAUUGGCACUGAAACGACAAGAAGAGUCUGAAAUGGUUAUGGAGGUGGUGUUAUAAAAGUGGAAAUGUUUCAACCGAUCGAUAACGAUGAAGAAGUCCCGGAGGAAAGGCACCCUGGAAAUAAGAAGAUGAAAAUGUUGAUUUUGCCGCUUAUUCCAUUUUUGUUAUUAUAUUUUUCUGAAAACUAAGUGUACACAAGAAAAUUGUAAACUGUAAAAUAAAUCGUGUUCAAAAUACUAUUUACAAUUUAAUACAGUGAACUUCAUUGGA